rnacentral:ribozyme from 1 species
AAAUAUAAGGAAAGAGAAGAAGGGAGGAAGAAGUAAAACAAACAAAAAUACAAAAUUUCAUUUCAUUUUAGUUCCCCUAAAUACACGUUGAUUUUUUUUUUUUUUUUUUUUUUUUU